rnacentral:rRNA from 1 species
UACGUAGGGCGCAAGCGUUUGUCCGGAAUUAUUGGGCGUAAAGAGCUCGUAGGCGGUUUGUCGCGUCUGCCGUGAAAGCCAGGAGCUUAACUCUUGGUCUGCGGUGGAUACGGGCAGGCUAGAGGCAGGUAGGGGAGAACGGAAUUCCCGGUGUAGCGGUGAAAUGCGCAGAUAUCGGGAGGAACACCGGUGGCGAAGGCGGGUCUCUGGGCCGAUACUGACGCUGAGGAGCGAAAGCGUGGGGAGCGAACAGG